rnacentral:misc_RNA from 1 species
GCAAACUUGGUCAUUUAGAGGAAGUAAAAGUCGUAACAAGGUUUCCGUAGGUGAACCUGCGGAAGGAUCAUUAAUAAUGAAAAGUUUUGGGACUUCGGUCCCGACUUUUGUACCUUGCUUAUUUUAUCAUCAUGUUUCUUUGAUAGAUCAGUCGCAAGACGAUUGGAUGGAUGGAUAAUCCGUCUGAUUCGUGUCUAUCAGAGACCAUUUUAAAAUUUGUUAUUAUAAUUCAGUCUAACAUCUUUUAAUUAAGAUUUUUAAAUCUCAAUUGAAUAUAAAACUUUCAACAACGGAUCUCUUGGUUCUGGCAUCGAUGAAGAACGCAGC